UAUAAACAUAAAUUUAAUAUUUAUGAAAACAGAUUCAGUUGUCAUUGACUUGUUGGAUGUGGUGUUAACAACAUAGCUAACAUCAUCAAACUCUAUUUUUCACGAUAUGUUCAAUGGUGGCAUUAUUGGCAUCAGAGGAGCAACCGACAUGACGGAAUUGCUGGCUAAAGUCGAGGUGCAACCGUAACACUAUCGUCCAAACGACAACGAGUUACAGUGCACCGCCUACUAAAUCGUACAACUGGUGCGACAUCCUCUCCGAUUUAAGUUCUGUUUGGGAUUGAGUCAUUGAGAUACUGUAACUUUUAAGUUACAGCUGCUGUGAAAAAAAAAAAUGUAACUAUGAAACAGUAGUUAAUAAUAUAUAGUAAAUAUAAAUUUUAAAUAAUAUUUUUGACAAAACUAUUAAAGAUAUAAUAAUUUUUCUAUCAUACAGGUGAAAAAUCAUAUCAACAUAGCUUCCAAGUUAUAGUAGUUAGUAUUUGUCAAAUACUUUAGUACUGUAACUUAAGUGAUGUCUAACGUCAAUCCCAAAUGCACCCUUAGUAAGUGGUGCAUCACCUAUUGAUAUUAAUGAAAUUUUUUUUUUCAUUAAAUUUAAAUGUAG
rnacentral:lncRNA from 1 species